GCACUCCAGCCUGGGAGACAGAACGAGACUAUACCUUAAAAAAAAUUGUGUGUAUAUAUAUAUGUAUGAGGGCAUAUGUUACCAAAGGAUAAAUACCUCACAGAAGAGUCAACACAGUAACAAAUGUGGGCCUCUGCCCUCGGAGGCUCUCAUUAGUUACCAGCGGGGAGACCAGGCUUCAGUUGGGGGCCCUAGGACCUCCCUCUCCUCAUGGUUCUGUUAUGAGCAACCUGGGAAAGUGAGGGGAAAAUGGGGAUUGUUAAGUAGUGCAGCUCACAUCUAACAGCCAAUCUGCCGUGAGGGAAGGGCACGCUGAGAAGCGCUGCUCCCUCUGGCUGGACUGUUAUUUACAAGGCCUAGUGAGACCACAGGUGGUGACCCUGGUGCUGGUCCUUAGGGAGGAGUCUCUGAAGUCAAGACGGAAGGCAGUGGAAACCCAGAGGGUCAGGCACUGAUUCACAAGGCCUGCUCAACACCCAAUAGGCAAAGGCCCCCAAAAUAAGCCGUUCAGAUCCACAUGCCUGUGGUGCCCCCCACCUCGGGUGACCAUCUGUCCUGGGAUGCUACUGGCCUUUUAGUAUGAAAAACAGAAAUUCCCAGGAAAAGCAAGAUGAGUUGGUUGCCCUUCCCCACCUUUAUGAGCUAAAUUGAAUUGUCCUCUGUGGAGGUUCCAAGGAGAGACCCAGAAGUGUGUCAGGAAGGGUGGGUAGGGAGGGCAAACAGAGACAACUCGGACCUUGCCUGCCCAUGCCUUGGGGGCAUAAAACAAGGAAAGAAGUCAAGUUGUCUGCCUUCUGAUGCUUUGUCAUUCACUUAAAUGCAGGUGAGCCCAUUUUGGCAUUGAGCAUGGAAGACUUGGAAGCUAAGAGACUACAACAAAGUCAGGGAAGAAGCAAAAAUGCUGCCCACUGACAUUCAUGGGCCCCAAAGCAGACCUCACCCAUUUUACUUGCUGAUGUUACCUGCCAGACCCUGGCUGACACUUGCAUUUAUGGCCCCUGAUACAGGGGAUGCUGUUCAGAGCUCUUCACGCCUGCCUCUUCCUGUGCAAACCCUCAGGCCAGUCCAAGGGCCAGUAGGCAGGUAGAGAAAGAGAUGGUGAGUUGGCCUCCACCCUUCCUAUGGCAGAUGAUGUCCUCUCUCUGCAGUUUAAGAUUUCCAUGACUCUUCUUUCCUCAGCCGCCAGCACCGCUGUCACCCCAGCAGGCAGCGCCCAAGACUCCAGGUCAUCUCUGGUGAUGGGGCAAGGGAGGGAGUCUGGCAAGAGGGCAACAAAAAAGUCUCCCCCGUAGUUGUGGUCUCGUUUGCUAGUUUUUAAUUUUAAAAAUUGCAGGGGCAUUCUACCUGGCCAUGUGUUUUACUGACAAAAGCAGAGAGUCUAAUAUUAAGUUGUUGUCCUGUGGAGUAUGUGUCCAAGUGAGUGAUUGGGUUUGCUUCUAGCCUGUGUCCUUGGCAGUUGCAUUAGUUCUGAAAGAAACAAAGCUCUGUCCUCCACCAGCGCUCCGCAAAAAGCAAGGCGGGAAGCUUAGCCAAGCGCGCAGAUCUCUACUGUGAACUUUUCUGCCGCAUGUGGGGAAUUACUGGCCCUUGAAAGCCAUCGCAGACAGAUAAGAAGCAAGGUUAUAACAUGAUUCGACACGGAGUUUUGAAGAGUCUCACUUAGAAGUGUGAAAAGUGCAGCUUUAGAACCACCAUUUCAGGAGAUUAAGAUUUGAAAUCGUGUUGCCUUAUCUUGCCGUUUUCUUUUCACAGGCUUUUCCUUAGUUUUCGCCGUGAAGUCCUUUUUUUUUUUCCUUCCUUUCUUUCCCCAGUGUACACUCUAAGGUUUGCAACGCUUCACGCUUGAAGACUUGAGAAAAACUGAGUCAAUUCAAUUUGACCGACUUCAUAGUCACUGGCUUCAUGUGCUUUUGCUUGCUGUAAAAAGAAAAGCAUGUGAAAAAAAUACAUUGCCACGGAAUGAAUGGAUCCGUCUCAAAUAUUAUUGCUCAUUUUUACCUGUCCCUUAUGUACAGACUCCUUCCAGCCACAGCUCUUCCGAAUGGGCCGCACCCUCCAGGCCAGUUCAGCACCACACCCGGCCACACCAGCAACAUCUUUGCCAAUGCCAGUGCCCUGGGUCUCUUCUCGAUUCCCUGAGAUUCCUGGAGCUGCUCACAAGGCUUGAGGCCCUGGGCUCUUGGCAGCUGAAACAAAACCUGAAAGAAACUCAUUGGGCUUUGCAAUCAAUGUGCUGAAACGUCUCCAGCAGCAAGUGGCCACAUCAUCCCAUUUCCGGUCACGCAGAUGCUGGAGCUACUGGGCUCCUAGUCCCAAGUUGAUGGUCUUAGAGAACUUGAGAUCAGAUUCUGGUCCAGAGGGAAGAACAGAUUUGGGUUCCUGAGAAGAAACCAGGAAGCAAUGGCUAGCCUCAGAUUUUCUGGAGCAAUCCUGCUUUUGAGCAUUCUUAUUUUGUGGUCUACAAGAAUUAUUUUGUCCAUAUUAGAGCAUGUGUUCUAACUGUGGCAGGGUGGGCAUAGGGAGGUGGAGAGGUUGGGGAAGAUGUAGGUGUAGCAACUGACAGAAACUGAGGUUGGGGAGCUGUUCUGGGGAGGCCACUGUCGCUAUCAGGAUACUGUGUUAUUAAGGGGGCCACUGACAGAAACGGGUUAAGUCUGGUUUAUCUGUUUAGCCCAUUCUCAGUCUUGUCAGCUAAACAGAAAUCAGGGCUCUGGUGUAUUGGUGGAGGAAGAAGAAUGGGAGGAUCUGGACCUGGCAAUACUCAUGAGGGCCUAAAGCUUUGGCAGCGUUGCAAUGGGUGUGAUGCACAGCCAGAGGCUUUCAGAUGGCACUGGGAAGCUGGGAUGGAGGUUAAGGGGGAAAGGAAGACCCAGAGAGGGAGCAGGACAAACUUUACCUCUUCUACUGUUUUGUUUAGGCCAACCUUAAUACCUGGAAUUUAACUUCUGAAUAAUGAAUUUAAAAAGAACAAAUAAGAUAUGAAGAUACUGAUGCCAAUAGUGUGGCGCAUUGCUAGGGCCUUGGGUCAGUUCCUAGCAGUUUUGCUAGCAUGCAUGUUAGCAGGUGACAGGAUAACCACCGUGACCCCAGAGGGUUUUGACAAUCUGGCCCUGAUCUUUCUCAAUUCAUCUUUUUACUUUCCCAUCAACCCACGCUCUUGUCUUUCUGAAUUCUUCCCCAUUCCCAGACACCCUGCAUUUAUACCACUGUGCUGGGAGUAUUCUCACUGCUUGGUGGACAACCAUCUCUCUUUAUUCUCUGGAAAAUUCUUAUUAUCUAUUCUUUGCUUUCCCUUUCGGGUUCCUUUUAUUUGAUUUUUCUAGCUCUCUAGAUAAAUUAAUCUUAUCCUUUUCUGAACUUUUGUUUUUAUUAUAACAUAUGUAGAAUUAUAAUUAUUUCAUCCUUGGUGUCUCUGCUAGAUCAUGUAUGCUUUAAGGGAGGAGACCAAAGUUAAAUCAAGUUGCCUUGCCUAGCAUUAAACAAAAUGAACGUCUGAGAUAUGCGGUACUCUCAGUAUUUGGUAGGUGUUUAUAAAAGGGAAAGAGAGUGGGAGUAGAGAAGCUCUGUCUCUGCUAUCAAUGUUGUGUGUUGGUAUAAACAUGUGUUCAUUUAAACACACACACACACAGAAAUAUAGAAGCAUUAAUACUUACUAUGUGCCAUGUACUGUGCUAAGAAAUUUUACAUGGAUGUUUUAAAUACAAACAUCCUCACAAGGGUUUCUAAUGCAGAUAAUGGUAUUGUCUCUAUUUUAGAAGUGAGAAAAUAGAAACAAGUAAGGGUUUAAGUGAUUUAUCCAAGGUCACAUAGGUCACAUAGCAUCGAUUCAAAUUCAGACAGUCUAACUCCAGAGCCCAAGACUUUAUCUGUUAUUAUUAAUUAUCUCUGUUUAUCGCAUCUCAGUGGAAACUGUCUCUCUUUUUUUAGCUGCUUGACUCCCACUUUAGGAGCUGAAAACUCCAGACCUUUUUAAGCCUCCCUUGCAGCUAGGAUGCAGGUAUGUGACCCAGGCUUGACUAAAUGGAUGCACCUACUAUUGCCUUUGAACUGGGAGCUGGUCACACAUAGAGACAGAGACAGCAGGAAAUCCAGAGGGACGGAGGUGCAGCAGCACUGUUCAAAGUCCUGUGUGUGUGGCUGCCAGUCAGCCUGUGAUAUAUAUGUUCAGUGUGAGGGGAGCGAUGGUUGUUUCCACAUUAGAUGGGUUAGGUGGUGUGAUUUUAGUUGUCCACCUGCUGCCUAGCUGCCCUUGUCUGGCCUCCUUUUCUAAGCCUGGUUUCAACACUGUUGAAAUGCCCUGAGCUAUUCAACAAUGCAGCAACACAUGCUUUUCUCUGCUGAAAUCAGGUAGAGUUAUUUUCUGUUGCUUGCAGUAAACAACUCUGACUGGUAUAAUAUCCAAACUUAUUAUCUUGAAUAUAAGACUCUCACAUACAUCAUUCUCACCUGGAAGAAAAAAACACAUAAGUAACCAGAAUGUUGUGAAUGUUCAACAGAGCAGAGGGUGAAUGUGACAGAUUGUGUAUCAUCAGGAACAAUUUCUAGUUUAUCCAUCUGACUACUUACUUAUGACUCAUUUGGCAAUUUGCAUGGAUGGUUAUAGGACUUUUUAGUAUAUUCUUACAAAACUUGUGUCCAAAAAUGGACUUUUACCUUCCAGUGUAAUCUGACUCUGGGCUUCAUAAAUUUCAUAAUAAAUUUUUCCUUUGAAUGAUCAGAAAGAAAAAUGCUAAAUACCUUUCUGGCUCAUUAUAGGCAAAAUGGCUUCCUGAAAUUGUAGUAGUUAAAAAACUAAGAUCACAGAGGAAGUUGGAUGGAACUGCUGAAUUAUUUAAUAUAAGCUGACUCAUUAGAGCCUUAGCUUCUGAGAUGGAAGAAAAUAUGAUGGUUUACAUAAAGGUUACUGAUAAAUUCCAAGAUGAAAUUCACUUUGAAGGGAGUAAAAUGUUGUUGGGGGUAACUAAUCCCUGUGGCAUAAUGCAGUGAAGGAGUUGAGUUUACAGUUUGACAGGGGGUUAUGAUCACAAGACAUUUCUGAAUUGCGGGAGAGGCCACUGCUUCAGAUGGUCAAGUGGCCUACUGAGACGUCAGAUAUUAGACAGGAAUAAACUUUACAGAGGCCAAAGGUUUGACCUUAGGAAGUCUAGACAUGCUAAUGUAAUUAUCAUCACUCUAAUCAGAUUAUAAAGUAAACACAUGCUCUACAAAGCAAAGAAUCUCAUGGGGUUGUUAUUUAGAAGAUGAAGAAAAGCUGCUUCCUGUCUCGCUUAGGAAAGCAAGGGGAAGAAAUGGGGUGGUUGCAGCAUGAGGGAUGUUGGUUUGAUCAGUGGUUCUCGACUGGGGACGAUUUGGCAAUAUGUGGAGACAUUUUUGGUCUAACCAUUACAACUGUGGGAGUGGGGAGACAUCCGGCAUUGCUACUGGCAUUGAGUGGGGAGAUGCCAGGGUUGCUGCUGAAUAUCCUGUCAUACACAGGACACCCCUGUAACUAAAGAAUUAUCUGGCCCCAAAUGUCAAAAGUGCUGAGGCUGGGAAACUCUGGGCUAGACGUAAGAAAUAACUUUUUGAAUCUGAAGUGAUGUAAAUAGAAGAAUAAGGUUAUAGGCCCAGGACUACUAUGGACCACGUGAAGCACCUGCUUCAGGGAACAAAAUUUGAAAGAGUGCACCACACCUCAGUAAUCAAGAAAAAUAAUAUUUAGAAACUCAAAUUUAAUGCAAAAAUAUCCAUGGUGUACAAGCUAUCAAAAUUUUAAAUAAAGACAGGAUUCAACAGAGAUAGGAUUAUGGUAGGGAAGUUAAAAUGUUAUUUAUCUUGAUUACUGAAGCUGUGGGCACUCCCUGCCUUACAUUUUGUGCUCAAGGUAAGUGCCUCAGCUGCUUCACACUAGCCCUGGCCUGUUGGAUCAUCAUCAAUGGUAGAACACCAUUUUAGCUAAAAGGUAAUUUGGCUUGAUUAUGACCAAUGAGGGGUGUUCAAGCCUGGUGAAAGUAAGUGAGAAGAUUCAGCUGUAGAAUUUUAGACUUCAUGAAUAUAUUAAGUAAGGAAGCAACCCCCAUAUUGAGCUGCAUGGAAAUUCCCUAAUAUGGGUUUUUAAUCUCUGUGAUUUAUAGCCUGGCUCUGAUUAUCCAAGACCAUCUUCAUUAUGAGUGGUAAUGUAUGGCUGGCAUCCCAAAGAAACAUGUGGCAUUAACUGUGGUCUUUAUCAACACGUUUCUGUUGCAAUUCAGCCUUCCAGAAAAAUAACCACUGUUACGACUCUUCCAUUUUACUUACCAAGUAAACCAUUCCUUCUCAUUCUCUCCUCUCCACGAUCCCACUUCACCUCAAAACCAAUUUAGCAUUCUCUUCUGGGCCCUAUUGAUAUUGACAUUAUUUUAUAUUACUUGCACCCUUCCCCACAAAAAAAAUGCCUUAGAGAGAUUUUUUAAGGGGAGGAUUUAAAAUGUUUUUCCUUCUAAUGGGCUUGGGAAAUUGUCUAUGUCUAAAUUAUAAGUUUAUGUAUGUGGGAUAUAGAGUACUUACCAGAUAAUGCUGACCCCCUCAGAAAUGGUAGAUAAAACUUUCAAAGAUAGUUUACUAUUGUGGGCAGGGCAGCAUAGACAGUUAUAAAAAAUUAUGGUAAUAUUACUAAUUAGGAGAAAUGUAGUCUUGGAUCUAUACUAGAACAAACAGCCUAACCAUUAUAGAUUGCCUUCCAUUAAUUUCCAUCUGUGAGUGUCUAGCCUAUUAGAGUGCCUGCAUUCAGUAAAUGUGGUUGUACAUAAAGCAACUAGAUAUGGGACCAGCCACUUACCACAUCUGAUCACUGAAUCUAACUGACUUAUGUACGAUUGCUUUUGAUCUAUGCUAACUAUCUUUAUCUCAGUGCAAAUCUCAGCUUCCUAUCUGUUAUUUUAAAAACGCUUUCAUCAAAGAAUAGCAGCAGGUUGGGCUGAAUUAUAGGGUUUGAGUUUAGUUUUUCUUUUUUAAUUCUGUUAGAAACAAAGCAACAUCAAACAUGGGCUGCUUCUUUUAAACCAAAUAGUCAUUACUAUCUUGAUGAGCUAGUUUGUGUUUAUUUCUUAAGAAAAAAGAGGAAGGGAAAAAGUGUUAGAUGGGUAGAUAAAGAAUAAUUCUAAUUUAAUUUAUAUUACCAAAGCUAGGCAUAUCCAAAUGUUCUCUCUCUCUCUUUCUCUCUCUCUCUCUCUCUCUCUCCCCUCUCUCUCUUGGUACAGAGGUGAAUGGAAGUCUGCCUAAUGCUUAAGCAAAAAGUACACUUGAUUGUUUCAGAUUUAGGAUUUUUCUGAGCUGCUUGGAUGUGCAAGGCCGUAAUUACCUUGCAGUGGAAAAUUCAAAUCCACUAGGAUAGGCCAGUGUUGAGUAUGAAGUGGAAAGAGUGUUGCCCUGGGGUACAAGUCCUGCCCUUCCUUUGGGAUUAUGCAUUUUGACCAGAGACAGGUCAUAGAAUAUAAGUUACAUGUUUCUAGGUUUUCCUAUUCACAAAAUGAUGAUAAAAAUGCUUAGAAGUUCCUUUGAAAUAAACUGUCCACAUGAAUAUUAGAUUUGUGGGCUACCUUUUGUUCUAUGGCAGAAAAGAAAUUAUGUCCCCUGGAGAAUUUUAGUUAGAUCUUCAGAAAGAAUAGAUGGAAAAUUGACACUAAAUGGGGUGUGUAUUCUCUUUUCUAUAUUCAUGUUCUCUAAACAAAUGUUAUAACACCUAUUUUAUUUAAUCUUACAAAUAGAUACUGAACAAAUGAAGAAGUCAGUGCAUAAAUCAAGAGAGCACUGCAAAUACUAAGAAUCAUUUCAUAAAACUUUGCUCUUAGUCAUACAUAAAGUCUAGGCCACAUGUAUAUCUUACUGUGGUUUGUGCUAGUCACUGCUGAUAAGAGAGUGUCAUAUAACAAUUUGAAUAGAAACAUAUAAUUACUUAAAUAAGCUAUCCAUCAUGGAAGGCAUAAACAUAGUGUUUAAAUAUUUUCUUUUUAUCAUUCUACUCCCUGCAUUGCAAUAUAACUUCAGGUUUUUUAAAACAACCCCCUCCAUUGUACUAUGUUGUUUGCUUUUGUGUGUAUUUGAAUUUUUUUGUAAUAAAAAUGUUUUGAAAACCUCUUA